rnacentral:rRNA from 1 species
UACGUAGGGGGCAAGCGUUGUCCGGAUUUAUUGGGCGUAAAGAGCGUGUAGGCGGCCAGAUAGGUCAGCUGUGAAAACUCGAGGCUCAACCUCGAGACGUCGGUUGAAACCAUCUGGCUAGAGUCCGGAAGAGGAGAGUGGAAUUCCCGGUGUAGCGGUGAAAUGCGUAGAUAUCGGGAAGAACACCCGUGGCGAAGGCGGCUCUCUGGGACGGUACUGACGCUGAGACGCGAAAGCGUGGGGAGCGAACAGG